rnacentral:lncRNA from 1 species
GAUGAUUUUGAUGGGGAAGACCCUGAAGAAUGAAGUGUUGACGAAUUCACCCCUCCAUAUGGGAAGAGAGAUGGAUCGAGAAUGGGUGGAUUAGGUAGACUCAUGCUGUAGUUGUAUGAGUAUCCCAUCAAAGGAUGAUCAUAUUUACAAGUUGGCCCAAACUUGCAGAUUCCAUAAAGACUAUAAUAUGAACACACUGCUUGCCCCUGCAUUUUCAAUCAUCAUUCAUGUAAAAUUGUUUUAUAAAGGGUUCCCAACAUUUAAAAAAAAAAAAAAAAACCUUAAUUUUUUUUUCAUAUUUUGAAGUUAUAUUAUGCAAUUGUAGAUAUUUAAAAAAAUGGUGACAUUUUGCAAAAUAAAAUUUAAAAGGAGCUCAUUUUGUGCUAUGGGUAAAAAAGGAGUGGUCAAUUUGUUAAAUGUGGGGUUUGUAACUUAUGUAGGGAAGUGUAAACAUUUUUUUGUUUUAUGAAAAGAUAGAGNUAUGAGUAUCCCAUCAAAGGAUGAUCAUAUUUACAAGUUGGCCCAAACUUGCAGAUUCCAUAAAGACUAUAAUAUGAACACACUGCUUGCCCCUGCAUUUUCAAUCAUCAUUCAUGUAAAAUUGUUUUAUAAAG